GUCUCAGGGUCACAUAUGAUCUGAAACUACGUUAGCCAGCAAUGCUAACUUUUUGCCCUUUUUAAACUUAAUUCUGUAAUACACCACAACACCAUGGGCCCCUGGUUUGAUACACACUAAUACAUAAGGAUUUGAUACGUAAUAAUGGGUCAAUGUUGCUGCCUUGCUCCCAUGUACUGCCCGGCCUCGGCUGCAUUCCGAGCGUACUCUUUAGACCAGGAAAACUAUUUACUUUGGCACGUGCCUAGAAGACUGCUGGAAGUCACAAGAGCGUGCAACACGAAUGCAUGUGCACUACAGCCCUGGGCUAUGUCAUUUUCUGAUCCAAAUCAGCGUUGGGUAUUGAUAUUAUUCAAUCGUUACAAUCAUUUAUUGAUCAACGAUAAAGUGGUUACUGGUAAAUACAUGGGUUGCAAAGACGUGGUUAGAUUGGUGGGCUAACAGCUACAGCAAUCCUGUGGUGUAAUUUUCAAAGCGGCUUGACGACUGAGGACCGGGCUUCGAAUCAUUCAUACUUUCGUCGUUGCAAGCCUUAAUGCCCCAGGGGCGGUGUUCCAUCGCCCGUGAAACCAGCUGUUUUUUUUUUUUCCCGGCUACACUCUUUCACUUCCAAGUCGAUACACUAUGGGAUAUCUGCAAAACAACUACAAGGCUACGUAAUAUCCCAACUGCGCUCGUCAAUUGCAGUGUUACUUAACCAGUUGGUAGAAAAGUAAUGUUAUAGCCAAGAAAAGCAAAUGACCACUGUUUCUGUUGCAUAUACCAUUACACCGAAAAGCGUUCGACUUUUUGGUCAAAGUCUAUGUCGAACAGCGUCGUAGCCUACUAUGCAUUUCCUUUCUGUAAACAAAGUAAAAAUAGACAGCAAUCGCAGGGAUCCCGGCAGCCCAUUAUAUAACCGGCAGAGCGGAGCAGAAUGACAUCACGGGUAGGCUAGUCGAGCAAUCACUCGCUGCACAGGGCAGACACUGUGUCCUUUACUCUCGAGCUCAAUGAAAAGCGUCUGCCUGUGAUCGUGUUCUGAGCGUAUUGUAACCUUUACAAUGUAUUCUGCCCACAUGAAUGGGAGUUCAAAGAGCCGCACAAGCUAUAUUCGGCACUGAGCUUACGUGUCAUCACCACCAAUAGCGAAUAACACUCUUGGUUUCCAUGGUUGUCAAACAUAUAUAUAAUGAGAAAAAUAUAUACUUCCGCAAUUGCAAUUUUCUUGUUACGGCUGCAAUGUUUCCCCGCUGAGAACAAAAUGUUGACUAAGCGAAAGUCGCCACGGCCACGUAAGAGGAACUAAGAGCUUUAAAAAGUGCGAUAGCGUAGUGGAGUACUACGAGAAGCGCGAUUACGAGGAAGUAGCCCUUUGCAAUGUAAUCAGACGCGGUGUAGUGGCGCAGUUAAGUAGCGCUCCUGCCCCGAACAAGCCCAACGAGAGCGCUUCUCGCUCGGUUCCUGUUCCCCGUCACCCAGCGCUCUGCCGCCUCGCACUUUACAUGCAGUUGCAAGGCAUAGUUUGAAGUGACAAGUAUGUCAACGUGAACGCCAAACACCGAUUAACAUGAUACUGCAAAUACUAAACUUAAAAAGACACAAAGCACAAACUUAACAUGUUACAAAAGCCUUUUUUUUUAUGGAGGACCGUCUCAGAUCCGUCGCGUCCAAUGGUACUUCCAGCCAUUUUCUCGAUGCGAGU
ensembl:lncRNA